rnacentral:rRNA from 1 species
AACGAACGCUGGCGGCAGGCUUAACACAUGCAAGUCGAGCGCGUAGCAAUACGAGCGGCAGACGGGUGAGUAACGCGUGGGAAUCUACCGUACCCUACGGAAUAACGCAUGGAAACGUGUGCUAAUACCGUAUACGCCCUAAGGGGGAAAGAUUUAUCGGGGUAUGAUGAGCCCGCGUUGGACUAGCUAGUUGGUGGGGUAAAGGCCUACCAAGGCGACGAUCCAUAGCUGGUCUGAGAGGAUGAUCAGCCACAUUGGGACUGAGACACGGCCCAAACUCCUACGGGAGGCAGCAGUGGGGAAUAUUGGACAAUGGGCGCAAGCCUGAUCCAGCCAUGCCGCGUGAGUGAUGAAGGCCUUAGGGUUGUAAAGCUCUUUCACCGGUGAAGAUAAUGACGGUAACCGGAGAAGAAGCCCCGGCUAACUUCGUGCCAGCCGCCGCGGUAAAAC